UACGAAGGGGGGCUAGCGUUGCUCGGAAUCACUGGGCGUAAAGCGCACGUAGGCGGAUUGUUAAGUCAGGGGGUGAAAUCCUGGAGCUCAACUCCAGAACUGCCUUUGAUACUGACGAUCUCGAGUCCGGGAGAGGUGAGUGGAACUGCGAGUGUAGAGGUGAAAUUCGUAGAUAUUCGCAAGAACACCAGUGGCGAAGGCGGCUCACUGGCCCGGUACUGACGCUGAGGUGCGAAAGCGUGGGGAGCAAACAGG
rnacentral:rRNA from 1 species